GGUUUGGUGGGUGAUGCUAUCGAAGCGAUUAUAUUUAUAUGCACACAGAAGCCUUAUUGCGUUGUUUAGAACAAAAGAGGUGACACAAGCAAAGUAAAAUGGCAUUGUUCAAAGUCCAAGGCGACGCCUGUCCCUGCGAUGCGUAUUGUGUCCCGCCAUGGACCUUCGCUUUGUAAGACGAGAACAAGGACUCCAGUGCAAGCAAUUGACGAAUUGUCCUUUGCAUCGCGAGCCUGUUAUAUUUUCUAAUUCAAAUGAAGUCCUGCAUGAUUCAUGCGGAUAUUAAACGGUGGAAUAAUAGUCGGAAGCAGAGGCAGAAGGUUGAAGUUUAAAACGAGGUUCUUACUGGACUUAAGGAAUUGAAUGUCCGGGAGGCUGCGGUUCCUGCCUUUGCAGAUGACCUCUGGACGCAUUUCUAUCGACUUCCACCUAGGUAUGCCGUGGAUUUGAAUGUGGAGAGAGCUCAAGAUGUUAUUAUGCAUAAAAGGCUGUUGCGUAUUGCACAUGAUCCUGCUACCAGACCUGCUGUUGAAGAUAUGGCAACCUUGCUGGUACCUGUAUUUGCCAAUUGAUUUGCUAGAUCUUGGCGAUAUAUCUUUUAUGCAGGGUCGUUCAGCUUCUGGUGUGAACUGUGAAUUCCAGUGAUUCUCUUCAUUCAAACACGCAAAGAAAUGUCUGUCCUCAAGAUUCUCAUAUUCCAGGCAACAUGAGGCAUGAGUUUUAAUAUUUGAAUCGCUGAAUACAUUUAUUUGGCAUUCUACAUUUCCUCUCUGUACUUUCUGCAUUAUUCGUACUUACUGCUUCUUUUUCAUGGGUUUCAUCAUCCAUCCUGCUCCAGCCUUUGGUUCCUCAGCUAACUUUGAACUUGCUCUUGAAGCAAGACAGUGUCGAAUUCGAGCUGACGGUGACAAUUUGAAAUUCUACACCCAUUAUUCCCAGUAAAACUUCGAUGAUGAUUGUAUACUUUCUAAUUCUUCUACGUAUCUGUUCUAUGACCAUCAUAUUUCCCCUCCUUUCUAAUCUCUAUUUCUGAUCGCUGUAAGAGGUGUCAUACUCAUCAUAUUAUUAUUGUGAUUGCUUACAAUACUUAUUGCUCUUUAUCGGUUUCUUGAAACUAUUAAAUGAAAUGGCAGACCAAUGCAUGAGAUCACGAUAUCAACAAACGACAUGCCAAACCUUCUAAGUCAGGAGACUGAGAAGCUUAAACAUGUGCUGACAAAAAAAAUAAUUCAGAAACUUGAGGUAGGCCCUUCACUUCCCACUUGUUACAGCGUCCCCUUCAACAAAGAUAUGAUCGAUUUUUUUUACCGUGUUUGAUUGUAUGGAGGUAUUUUUUUUUUCAUUUUCACAUAAAUUGGAUUGAAUUAGUGGGCGCGCGCGCGCACUAAGUUCUCAAAUAUUCCAGAUUAAUUUUAGCCUUUUGUGCUUAGCUGGAAAUUGAUUGUUGCUCGCAUGUCUGCCCCCCACCUUUGGCUUUUAGCAGGGCAUCCUUACUUAGUUGGAUGUUUUGGGUGGAAAUCCAGAUUCAGCCUUCCUUCAAGAAAAUCGGCAGUCAAGCUGCAGAGCAAGGACAAAUCAGGAUCAAUGAAUCUACCUUUAAGUGGAAGUGCUGCCUGGGAAAUUGAUGCAAGCUGUUUGAAAUAUGAAAGAAAAAUUGCAUCCGGACCUUUCUCUAAUUUGUAUAAAGGUGCUUUCUGUAACCAAGAAGUGGCUUUCAAAGUUCCCAAGGCUGAGAAUCUGAAUGAAAGUAUACAAAAGGACUUUGCUCAAGAGGUCUAUAUUCUGAGAGUGAAAUAUAUAAUCAGUAGCCUAUUGAUGGGAAUGCUGAUGGUUCUCUUUUAUAAAUUGAAUCUUGCGGUGAAGUGUGUCACAAGAAUGUUGUCAAAUUUGUGGGGGCCAGCACAAAACCUCCAGACCUGUUCAAUGUCACAAAAUACAUAUUUGGUGGAAGUCCGUAUGAGUUUCUGCACGUACAGAAGGCUGUACUGACUCUCCCAUCGUUGCUCAUAGUAGUAAUCAAUGUUGGUGAAUGAAUGAAUUAUUUGUAUCAGAAUGACAUCAUACAUAGGGAACUCAAAACUGCAAAUCUUCUGAUGGAUGAGAACAGGGUAAUAGGUUAUAUUUUGUGCCACCUACUUUGAGAUUUGCUUAGGUUUUUUAUGUCUAUUAGUGAUUACUUGAACAUUCUAGCAAGGUUGCUGAUUUUGGCGUAGCAAGAGUGGAAGAUCAGUCAGGCAUUGUGACUGCAGAAACUGGAACCUAUAGAUGGAUGGCUCCAGAGGUGGGUCUCAAACCUGAGUAUAAUGUAUAAUGCUUCGUGAUAAUUUCUUUAUUGUUAUCAGAUGCUGCUGCUACUAUUAUUAUCAGUUCUAUUAUUUUGGGUUUAGGGGAUUAGCUAUUAAGCUAUACUCCCUCCAUUCCUAAUUAUAAGAGCCUUUUAACUACUUCGCAAAUAUUAAGAAAUGUCAAUGAAUUUGUCAAUAAUUGGCAUCAACUUUCCAAAAAUACCCCUUAAUGUAUUUUCACCCCUUCUCUCUCUUUCCUAAUUAAUUAACGUGGGAACACCUGUUUUAAGAGGGGCAAUUUUAUCAAAAGUAAUAUAUACAGUAGACAAUUGGAAAUGGUCUUAUAAAAGGAAACAACUCAAAGUUGCAAAAAGGCUCCUAUAAUUAGAAACAGAGGGAGUACCUCUUUGUUAAAUCAUCUAAGGGUAGGGAGACUUGAGAAUUGAGAGCAUAAGUAAAGGAUGUGAAAGGUGGAAUUGUGUGUGUUCCUAGGAUAAACAUUGACAGAACAGAAUAAAGCUUAUCUUGAAAGCUAUAUAAUUGUCAUGACUGUUUACUUUUUUUGGGUUGCUUUUGUGCAUUGCAUAAGGGUAAUGACAAUGUUGAAGAUUUUUUGGUAAAAUGUGUUGAAGCAUUCUAAAUAGAAGACAAGAGUGGACUGCAAGGGUUUGACCUUCCUCUCAGAAUUCAUUCUUUUCGGUUGGUUGAACCCAAAACUUACAUCGCUUUGACCCUAGCAUGUUCCACGUGGUUGCAAGGAAGAAGGAAGUGAUAUACUGUUGCUUUUACCUCACAAUAGGUUGAUUAUUAUAACUUGUGAUUCGGUUGAUAUUUGGAAGUUUAUUGAACAUAAACCAUAUAAUCACAAAGCCGAUGUGUUCAGCUUUGGAAUUACUCUGUAGGAGCUGCUCACGUGAAAGGUAAAUGCUCUUUGUAUAUCUUCCCCCAUUCUUGUUUUCUUGUUCACGUUGUAAAACUGCCUUCCCUCAUCCUUCUUCAAAAGAGAAGUGACAGAAUGGUUACUUGAUCACAUUCAAAGCUUUUUUUUCCGGUUAUGUCGAGCAAGCUUCGUGACAGACAUGGACUUCUAUAAACAAGGCCAUCCUGGGUUGCUUUCAAAAUUUAAAACUAAAAAUAUAUAUAGCUCAGAUAUUACCCUUAGAUUUCAGCAGGGUUGUAGUCUGGCAAAGUAUUUCGCGGUAUGACUUCCUAGUAAUGGAGCUCAAGAUGACCUCAGUCUAGCCUUGAGGUUGCCCACACAUAGAUUCAACCGCACUUGGAUUAUUUCCUGAAAGUGAAGCAAGUAGAGGGAGGUUUCCUGCCAAUGUUUAUAUACAUGUAAAUUACAUGUCAAUUUUGAAACUCAUUUUGGGUUUAAUCCCAUUUUAAAUUAAUAGUUGCAACAACAAAAGAGAGUUGAACUGGGCAAAGUGAUUAAAAAUGGAUUUAAAGUAACGAAAAGGGCCACGGGAGAGGAAGGAGGUGUAUUUGAGAUGCUUGUUAUUGUGCUGUUUCCACUUUCCAAUUAGAUAGGGUCGGACAGACUUACGGGUCCUAUUAUGCAUGGUUUUUGGACUGAAGCGGCUUCGUUGCGAGCAUUUGUCACCAUUGCAAGCAGCAGUUGGAGUGGUCCGGAAGGGUUUGAGGCCCGAAAUUCCGAGGCAUACGCAUCCAGGGAUAGCAGAGUUGCUUAACCGUUGCUGGCACCAAGACCCUUCCUUGAGACCUGAAUUCUCGGAGAUUCUGGAAUUUCUGCACCAUUUCUCCCGCAAAGUAUGUGGAGACGUUUUUUUUUUUUUUUGACCACCAGCAGAAAAUGCAUCCAUUCAAAGGCAAAAGGCCAGAGUUUACAAACCGAAACAAGAAAGGCAAAUCAAAGAAACAAGAGAAGUCAUAAGCCCAAAGGCAAAGACUUGAGAAGAAAACACAACACAGGAAAUAAACAAAGACCAAUUAGCCGAUGCCUUCAUGAUCCCUGUGGAUCACUGGUUGUUGGAAGAAUUGCUUGGAAUUGCCUGAAUCUUUAAGUAAAAUAGCUAAAAGAGGGGUGGAGGGUCGAGAAUCCAACCACCUGAGUCUACACCCUUUAAAGAGGAGGCUGCUAACCAGUCAGUAGCAGAGUUACCUUCUCGUUUGACAAACAAGAAAGAAAUAGAGUUCAAGGAAUCAAGCUUAACAAACAAAUCUUCAAGAAUCCCUGGAUAAAGCCAAGAGCAAGAAGAGUCCUUUCGAGAAACAGUAUUGAAUAAAUCUAAGCAAUACAUUUCAAUUACUGCGUGAGAAUUAAAAAAAUCGGAGGCCACUUGAACAGCUUUAAAGUAGGCCAGAAGUUCAAACUUGAAACAAAAUCUGCCUCCAUCGACUCUCUCCACCCUCUUAAGAAAUUUCUAGAACCAUCUCUGACAAUAACACCCAUUGCUGCUUUCUUGGAAGAUUGCAAAUAGGCACCAUCACAGUUUAUCUUAGCGACACCACUAAUAAGGGGAUCCCAACCAGCUUUUGUCUGCACUUCAAUAGAAGCGUUCAUCUGAGUUUUAUGAUUGAUUCGCCAAAAUUCUUCCACUACAACGUUAGUAGAGGAAAUGGCUUGUAUGGGAUUAAUAGCAGCAACAUUAAAAAUUAAUGUAGAUUUUGUUUUUCAUAUAUUCCAACACAUACAAGCAAUAUAUGCUUUAUCAUAGUCAUCAA